UACGUAGGGGGCAAGCGUUGUCCGGAUUUAUUGGGCGUAAAGAGCGUGUAGGCGGCCUGGUAGGUCAGUUGUGAAAACUCGAGGCUCAACCUCGAGACGCCGAUUGAAACCACCAGGCUAGAGUCCGGAAGAGGAGAGUGGAAUUCCCGGUGUAGUCGGUAGAAAUGCGCAGAGUAAUCGGGAAGCAACACCCGUGGCUAAGGCGGCUCUCUAGUACGGUACUGACGCUGAGACGCGAAAGCGUGGGGAGCGAACAGG
rnacentral:rRNA from 1 species